GAAGUUAAGAAGUGUGUGUUUCAGGCACCAGAAGUAACAUAUUUAGGACAUAAAAUUAAUGCGGAAGGGCUGCACCCGUCCGAGGACAAGGUUCAAGCUGUUAUAAAGGCACCCACACCAAGCAACAUCACUGAACUAAAGGCGUAUUUGGGGCUUGUUAAUUAUUAUGGCAGAUACAUUCCUAAUCUCUCCACAGUAUUUGCUCCCUUGUACAGAUUACUGCAACGGGACGUGGAAUGGCAAUGGGGACCAGAACAGCAGCGUGCCCUUGCCACAUCGAAACAACUGUUGGCGAGCUCCAAGGUGUUGGUGCAUUAUGACAGCAGCAAGCCCCUCCUGCUCACCUGUGACGCGUCACCAUACGGAUUGGGAGCAGUCCUUGCACACCGUUUGGAGUCUGGAGAGGAGAAACCGAUUGCUUUCGCAUCCCGAUCCCUGAGCAUAGCUGAACGCAAGUAUGCUCAGGUAGAGAAGAAGGUUUGGCAAUAAUAUUUGGUGUUAAGAAAUUUCAUAAUUACUUGUAUGGCCGCCAUUUUGAGAUCAUUUCAGACCAUCAGCCACUUAAAAGUCUGUUUAAUGAAACUCGCCCAGUGCCUGUGAUGGCAUCAAGUCGUAUCCAACGCUGGGCGCUAACACUAUCGGCGUAUGAAUACACUAUCACCCACAAACCAGGGAAAAAUAUAGUACAUGCUGAUGGGUUGAGUCGCCUUCCUCUCCCUGAAUUCCCCAAGGUGACUCCAGUCCCCGGUGAUGUGGUAUGCGUGUUGGAGAGACUAGACCAGACACCCGUCACGUCGAGAGAGUUAAGGCAAUGGACGGAUAAGGACUCAACACUCUCGAAGGUAAGAGAUCACAUUCUGUACGGUUGGCCUGGACAUAUAGCAGAGGAAACACUUCAGCCUUUUUUUAGAAGGAGGCACGAAUUAAGUGUCCAAGAUGGAAUAAUUUUGUGGGGAUCAAGAGUGGUGGUGCCUCAGAUAGCUAGAAAAAUGUGUUGGCUGAGCUACAUGCAACGCAUCCAGGAGUCUCGCGCAUGAAAGGUAUUGCGCGUAGUCAUGUGUGGUGGCCCAAUAUAGAUAAAGAUGUUGAGUCAACAGUACAACUAUGUUCACAGUGCCAACAAGUGAGAAAUCUUCCCCCAGACGCUCCUUUGCAGCCAUGGGAGUGGCCACUAAAACCCUGGUCCAGGUUACAUUUGGAUUACGCUGGGCCGUUUAUGGGUGCAGUUGCUAGAUGGGAGGACUGUACGACGUCAUCUCGACUAUGUGAGGAGAAGAGUAAGCAUAGAGGGCGAGACGGUUAACGCAGAUGAUGCCAUACCACCUCCCAUGGACCUCACAAAUGGAGCAGGAAUUCAGAAACAUGGUUCGGCACCGGCAGGCAGCGUGUCGCCCCUAAAGGCAGGAGUUUCGAAGCAGUCCGGAGCACACAACAGCAACGCGCCGGAUCAAAUUCAAGAACGAGAGUUAACCUCAAGUCAAGAGUUCGAACCUGGAUUGCCGCCACAACAGCAGCCGUUGGAGAGGGAAACACUGCGCCGUUCUGAGAGACUGCGCCAGAAGCCAGAUCGUUUGCAGAUAGCUUGGAAAUAAAAUGUUAGGUCUCUUGCUUCACUUGUGUUAACUAUUUUAAUUGUUGGAGUUUUGUAUUACUUUUGCUAGUUUUAGUUACUAUGUUUAUUUUGUUUUUUGUCUCGUGUUUGCGGGUUUUAGCGUUUCUUAUAACUUGUAUCGAAUAUUUUUUUUUCUAGUCUUUCUAAUUGAUAAGUUUUAGUAUCUUCUGUAUCUUUUUUAACAUUUUGGUUGUAAACUUGAUUUUAUGGUUUCUAACCUGAGUUUUUUUAAAAAAAGGGAGGAGUGUUAUAAUUGUUACUACCAAAGUACUACUUGUCAUUCACUGCUUCAUGUAUUGGUUUAUGUAUUAGUUCAUACUAGUUGAUUUCGGAAGCUUCUCUCUGUAUGGAGCCAGUUCAGCUCCAGCCGGCAAGCGGGUAGCCGCUCCUUAAUACAUUGUUACCCCUGGA